rnacentral:rRNA from 1 species
GAUGAACGCUGGCGGCGUGCUUAACACAUGCAAGUCGAACGGUGAACACGGAGCUUGCUCUGUGGGAUCAGUGGCGAACGGGUGAGUAACACGUGAGCAACCUGCCCCUGACUCAGGGAUAAGCGCUGGAAACGGCGUCUAAUACUGGAUAUGUGACGUGACCGCAUGGUCUGCGUUUGGAAAGAUUUUUCGGUUGGGGAUGGGCUCGCGGCCUAUCAGCUUGUUGGUGAGGUAAUGGCUCACCAAGGCGUCGACGGGUAGCCGGCCUGAGAGGGUGACCGGCCACACUGGGAUUGAGACACGGCCCAGACUCCUACGGGAGGCAGCAGUGGGGAAUAUUGCACAAUGGGCGAAAGCCUGAUGCAGCAACGCCGCGUGAGGGAUGACGGCCUUCGGGUUGUAAACCUUUUUUAGCAGGGAAGAAGCGAAAGUGACGGUACCUGCAGAAAAAGCGCCGGCUAACUACGUG